GGAAAUGAUUAAUGAAAAAGCUAAACAAGUUAUAAGUAGGUGUAGUUGUUGAACAGGAUCUAUAAUGAGUGUGUGUUCGUACAUAGGGACCUUAACACUCAUGGAAAAUCUGGACUGAGGACAUCAAUCCAGUACCAUAAUACAAUACAAUUAAGAAAUUAAGAGAAAAUAUUUUAUCAGAGAAUAUGUAGACAUAUGUAGAAAUAUCCAGUCAGGUAUUGCACUUCUGUGAGCUAUUACAGAUGAAGUAUAAAAUAGCAAAAAACAAGGGGUAAAAAAAUAGAAACAAGCAAAAACAUUGCCAACAAUAAAUAAUUUCCAUUUUCUUA